AUUGAACGCUGGCGGCAUGCUUUACACAUGCAAGUCGAACGGCAGCACGGGUGCUUGCACCUGGUGGCGAGUGGCGAACGGGUGAGUAACACAUCGGAACAUGUCCAGUUGUGGGGGAUACCCAUGGGAGACCAUGGUUAAUACCGCAUAACCUCGCGAGAGAAAAGCAGGGGAUCGAAAGACCUUGUGCAAUUGGGGUGGCUGGUGGCUGAUUAGCUAGUUGGUGAGGUAAAUGCUUACCAAGGCUACGAUCAGUAGCGGGUCUGAGAGGACGAUCCGCCACACUGGGACUGAGACACGGCCCAGACUCCUACGGGAGGCAGCAGUGGGGAAUUUUGGACAAUGGGGGCAACCCUGAUCCAGCAAUGCCGCGUGAGUGAUGAAGGCCUUUGGGUUGUAAAACUCUUUCGGUUGGGAAGAAAAGUCAUGGGCUAAUACCCCAUGUAAUGACGGUACCAAAAGAAGAAGCACCGGCUAACUACGUGCCAGCCGCCGCCGUAA
rnacentral:rRNA from 1 species